UGGAUCUCCUAAGGAGGCAGACCUACUCUCUCUAUUUAUUACAGAAAAUGUCAUUGUAUCUGACAAAGAGCAAGUAACUACGGAAAAGAAGAUGAGAACACAUCCCAUCUUGUCAGUAUAGUGAAUAUCAAAGGCAGACGGAAGUAUCACAAGAAAUCUUAACUACAAGAAAUUAUUCCUAAUGAACAUGGAUGAACAUAAAAUGCCUGAUAAUAUCAUAUUUGGUAAAACAAUACAGCAUGUUACACCAGCCGUAGUCUCCUAUAUCUGAAGAUUACCACAUCUCCUGAUGGUAUCAAGAGGCCAUGACAAUGGAUUGACCCACAUCGUUCAGGGUUAUGUAAGUAAAUUCUCUGAUGUUCACCAACUAUAUUCCUGUGGGUAAAUGAUACAUGAGUAGAAGAUUUGAUAUCUUCUAUGCAGCACAAACUAUAUUCCUCUUUCUUAGUAAUACUUAGAGUUGCAUCACAAUUUCGUAUUUUCUAACUUUUUUUUUCAGUUUUGAUCUAGGCAUAGUUCUUUCCAGGAAAGUUAUGUAUAUAAUUCAAAUUAUCCCAACUAUGAACCACUAACCAUGUAAGUAUUUGGAUCCAUAUAAAGUCCUGCCAGCAGUCUCUCACCCUAUGUCAAUUUCCAGCAGCCCAGAGGAUUUGUCAUGUAGUUUUCUACCUUGAUAUCCUCAUUACUCUUCUGUAGAGUAGCUUCCCCAUUUGGAGCAUUUUCACUUUUCCAGGUACAGCCGAUUGUGCUGCUUCUCAGUCGCCUCUUUGCUGCUCUGAAAUGGUCACAUGCCUGUUUAGUCAAGUCGCUGGGCCUGGCAGAGUGGCACCAAGCAGGUACUAUGUUUGUCUAGAUUGUUCCACCACUGGAUGUUGUAUACAGGGGCCAUCCAAGCUUUCAAUGCAAUAGUGCUUUGAAGUGGCUGCUGUGGGAUUGGAGAAGGUGCCUUCCUACAAUAAGGUUGCCUGUAGUAGAUUCUAAAGCAGUGUUUGUUCAAUUUAUUUAGUUUAGAGAGAGAUUAUCAAUUUUUACUCAUAGCUUUCUUUCUCCUUAGGAUCCACCAAACAGUGUUGGGGGACAGAUUACUUUGGUUCCAAACACGCUGUUUUCAGAAUCCCUAGUCUCGUGUGUCAUCAUAGGUCAGUCCCAUCAUACUCAUCUCCAUCCUUGCCACUAAGGACUUCAGACCCCUUGAAAAUAGUUAUUUUUUUUUUGGUCAGGCUACUCCAUCAGCAUGACAAACCAUCCAGACAUGGCUCAAAACAGCAAUGAAUGACGGCUCAUUAUUGAUCUUCACUACUUUUGGAGCUUUACCAUUAUUAUUAUUAUGAAAGCCCAUUGGCCAUGGUGGUGCUGACCUGAAAUUCUAGCUCCUUGGGAGGCUGAGGCUGGAAUAUUGAGAGUCCAAGCCCAGUCUUAGUAACACAGAGAGAUCCAAAAUAAAUGGCCCUAAGACAGCACUUUGAACCAUAAACAUCCUUUAGUUCAUUAGAAUUGUCUUUAUUUAAAUGAUUUAUAAUUUCUGUAGUAGAAGAGUUUCUUUACAUUUUUGGAUUGUGGAUACUGAAGAUGAUGAAUAGUGUCACAGUGAGAGGUAUGUCUUGCAUAAUUACCGAGACCCUAAGCCUGACUUUCCUCAGAUCUUGACCUAUGGCAUGUGUAGAACCUGCUGUGUCACAGGUUGAUAAUUGUUCUCUAAAAUCUGUUCUCCUUUUGUUUCUUACUAAAUCCUUGAAAUGGGCUCAGCUGAAAACACCAUUUCCCAGCCUUGCUUGGAGAUUGGUGUGGCCAAUAAGAUGUUUGCAAGACCUAUGAAGGCUCCUUAAAAGAACGGUGAUUAACAUUCUUCUUUCUUCAUGGAGAUGUGAUAAUGGGAAUUGAUCAACUGUAUUAGAACAAGGAAUAAAUCUUGACAAUGGGAUCCAUGCUUUGGAAGAGUUGAGAAGAAAGGUACAAUGAACUUGGACCCUGAAGAUAUUGAGGAGCGAUCAUGGUAGCUUGGUCUGUCCCAGGAGAUUUCUUUUCAGGCUUAAUGGUUAAUGGAGAUAAAAUUCUAUUGUUUAAAAUAUUCUUUGUUUUUUUCCUGCAAUACACAGCCAAGUAUUAUCUCUAAAGAAUACACCUGUUAAGCAUAAGCAAAAGAUGAACUAUCUCUAGUAUCAGAAAAAUAAAGGAUCUCACUAUCAUCUAUCGAUUCAGGAAUUGUUCUCAUUAUGGAAUGACAUUCAGAAGAGCAGCUGUUACAGGAUUCAGUCUAUCUGAAGCAUUUCAGAUAUUAGUUAAAAAUAAAUAUUUAUGUUUAUGAGUCACAGAAUCAUAAAUGGCUCUAAAAUGAA